rnacentral:rRNA from 1 species
UACGAAGGGGGCAAGCGUUGUCCGGAAUCAUUGGGCGUAAAGCGCGCGUAGGUGGCCACAUAAGUCCGUUGUGAAAGUCAAAGGCUCAACCUUUGAAAGCCGAUGGAUACUGUGUGGCUAGAGUACGGAAGAGGCGAGUGGAAUUCCUGGUGUAGCGGUGGAAUGCGCAGAUAUCAGGAGGAACACCAAUAGCGAAGGCAGCUCGCUGGGACGUUACUGACACUGAGGCGCGAAAGCGUGGGGAGCGAACAGG